AGGACGAACGCUGGCGGCGUGCUUAACACAUGCAAGUCGAGCGGAAAGGCCCUUCGGGGUACUCGAGCGGCGAACGGGUGAGUAACACGUGAGUAACCUGCCCUGGACUUUGGGAUAACCCUCGGAAACGGGGGCUAAUACCGAAUAUGACCUGGUUUCGCAUGUGACUGGGUGGAAAGUUUUUUCGGUCUGGGAUGGACUCGCGGCCUAUCAGCUUGUUGGUGAGGUAAUGGCUCACCAAGGCGAGGACGGGUA
rnacentral:rRNA from 1 species